rnacentral:tRNA from 1 species
GCCGGAGUGGCGGACUUGGCAGACGCAGGGGACUCAAAAUCCCCCGCCCUUUAAAGGCGUGUGGGUUCAAGUCCCUCCUCCGGCA